GGUGCUAUAGUGUAGUGGUUAUCACUCGGGAUUUUGAUAUGUCAUGGUAUUCGGUACUCGGAUUUCCCGAAACCCAGGUUCGAACCCUGGUAGCACCU